UGACAGUUAGUAGAUGCAAAAAUAUUAUCAACAGUUGUACAUUCUUUUUAGUUACUGAAAUGGGAAAAACAUGUGGCGCACUAUAACUAUGAUUUGUCUCAUACAUCAACAACAGAAACAUUCGAUACAAGAGAUUAACAUCAUCGUUAUAGAUCGAUUGGACUUUGAAUUGUGAAAAUAUUUGAUUGAAGAGGACUGAAACAACAGCCAAGUUGAAGCUCCAAGCAGACAAACCUAGGGCUCUUUUUAUCCACUGUUCCAUUUCAUACAGUACUAACAGUAGAUACUCCAAAUAUUUAUAUCCUUCUGGGAAGGAAUUAUCAGUUGGACAGAGGACGUAAAAUACAUCUGAUUUAUUGCCGCAUCCCGCCAAGCUGAAUUAAGGAAGAAAGAACUCACCAUUUCUGCGAUUGUUUGUGCGGGCAUGUUCACAUUGCGAGUCCCUCCUUGUACCUAUGCACAACACAAGCUUAUCAUUCCCCAACCACACUUCCCUGAGAAAAAAAAUACAAGACAUCAGAUGUUAUGGUGCAGGCAUCCCUGACGCAAAAGAAGCCUGGAUUCCCUCAUAGACGAUCGAGCAUACCCCGAUCCAUCCGCAUCGCGCUUCCUCCGUAUCCUGCUCGAGUGGGCUGGAUUCGCCCAAACCGCACGCGCGUCGGCUGGACCGAUCGCCCGCAUCGAGCACGGCUGGAUCCCCCCUGUCACUGAUCCACGUUCUACGCACAACCCAUCUCCUCUGUCCAGCGUGCACAACGAUGUUAGGGCAUAGUCCACUGGUGGUUUAGGUCGUACAGGCGGCAG
rnacentral:lncRNA from 1 species